AGGGGCAGCAUGGUCUUAGCUUGCUAAGGCUGAUGGCGACCGGCGCACGGGUGAGUAACACGUAUGCAACCUGGCCGUCACAGGAGGAUAACCGGGAGAAAUUCCGCCUAAUACUCCAUAACACCGGAGGGAGACAUCUCCCACCGGUCAAAGGAAUUUAUUCCGGUGACGGAUGGGCAUGCGGCGCAUUAGCUAGUCGGCGGGGUAACGGCCCACCGAGGCGACGAUGCGUAGGGGUUCUGAGAGGAAGGUCCCCCACAUUGGAACUGAGACACGGUCCAAACUCC
rnacentral:rRNA from 1 species